rnacentral:rRNA from 1 species
CGAUGAACCACUUCGGUGGGGAUUAGUGGCGAACGGGUGAGUAACACGUGGGCAAUCUGCCCUGCACUCUGGGACAAGCCCUGGAAACGGGGUCUAAUACCGGAUACUGACCCGCUUGGGCAUCCAAGCGGUUCGAAAGCUCCGGCGGUGCAGGAUGAGCCCGCGGCCUAUCAGCUUGUUGGUGAGGUAAUGGCUCACCAAGGCGACGACGGGUAGCCGGCCUGAGAGGGCGACCGGCCACACUGGGACUGAGACACGGCCCAGACUCCUACGGGAGGCAGCAGUGGGGAAUAUUGCACAAUGGGCGAAAGCCUGAUGCAGCGACGCCGCGUGAGGGAUGACGGCCUUCGGGUUGUAAACCUCUUUCAGCAGGGAAGAAGCGAAAGUGACGGUACCUGCAGAAGAAGCGCCGGCUAACUACGUGCCAGCAGCCGCGGUAAUACGUAGGGCGCGAGCGUUGUCCGGAAUUAUUGGGCGUAAAGAGCUCGUAGGCGGCUUGUCACGUCGGUUGUGAAAGCCCGGGGCUUAACCCCGGGUCUGCAGUCGAUACGGGCAGGCUAGAGUUCGGUAGGGGAGAUCGGAAUUCCUGGUGUAGCGGUGAAAUGCGCAGAUAUCAGGAGGAACACCGGUGGCGAAGGCGGAUCUCUGGGCCGAUACUGACGCUGAGGAGCGAAAGCGUGGGGAGCGAACAGGAUUAGAUACCCUGGUAGUCCACGCCGUAAACGGUGGGCACUAGGUGUGGGCGACAUU